rnacentral:misc_RNA from 1 species
GAUGAAGAACGUAGUGAAAUGCGAUACUUGGUGUGAAUUGCAGAAUCCCGUGAACCAUCGAGUCUUUGAACGCAAGUUGCGCCCGAAGCCAUUAGGCCGAGGGCACGCCUGCCUGGGCGUCACACGUCGUUGCCCCCCCAUCUACUCCUUCGGGAUCGCGGGGGGCGGAUGAUGGCCUCCCGUGCGCCUCGCCGCGCGGUUGGCAUAAAUGCCAAGUCCUCGGCGACGCACGCCACGACAAUCGGUGGUUGCGAAACCUCGGUUGCCCGUCGUGUGCGGUCGUCGCGCAUCGAGGGCUCGAAAAAAUUGCCGGGUUCCGGCUCGGCUUUCAACGCGACCCCAGGUCAGGCGGGGUUACCCGCUGAAUUUAAGCAUAUCAAUAAGCGGAGGA